rnacentral:rRNA from 1 species
UGGGGAAUAUUGCACAAUGGGGGAAACCCUGAUGCAGCGACGCCGCGUGAGCGAUGAAGGCUUUCGAGUCGUAAAGCUCUGUCCUAUGGGAAGAUAAUGACGGUACCAUAGAAGAAAGCCCCGGCUAAUUACGUGCCAGCAGCCGCGGUAAUACGUAAGGGGCGAGCGUUGUCCGGAAUUAUUGGGCGUAAAGAGUGCGUAGGCGGCAAAUUAAGUCAGAUGUGAAAACUAAGGGCUCAACCCAUAGAUUGCAUCUGAAACUGAUAUGCGUGAGUCAAGGAGGGGAAAGUGGAAUUCCUAGUGUAGCGGUGGAAUGCGUAGAUAUUAGGAGGAAUACCGGUGGCGAAGGCGACUUUCUGGACUUGAACUGACGCGGAGGCACGAAAGCGUGGGGAGCAAACAGG